UACGUAGGGUGCGAGCGUUAAUCGGAAUUACUGGGCGUAAAGCGUGCGCAGGCGGUUUCGUAAGACAGACGUGAAAUCCCCGGGCUCAACCUGGGAACUGCGUUUGUGACUGCGAGGCUAGAGUACGGCAGAGGGGGGUAGAAUUCCACGUGUAGCAGUGAAAUGCGUAGAGAUGUGGAGGAAUACCGAUGGCGAAGGCAGCCCCCUGGGUUAGUACUGACGCUCAUGCACGAAAGCGUGGGGAG
rnacentral:rRNA from 1 species